GCCCCAGUAUGACAGUAUACGUCCCUGUAUUACUGCCUGAAUUCGGGCAGUAAUACAGGGGCGUAUACUGUCUUCCUGGGGC
rnacentral:pre_miRNA from 13 species